rnacentral:lncRNA from 1 species
GAGAAAAGCAGCUUUCAGCCGGAUCCAGGCCGCGGAUGUCCCGCAGCGCCUCAGCCUGGCGGCCCUGUGGUCCGGAUAGGACGGGCUCCAGGCUCAGAGGAGGCAACUGACACACAGACUUGCAGCCUUUUUUCCAGCGACACCCACAUACGCUUUCCAGGUAUGAAAUUCCAUGAUACAAGCAGAAUCCAAGGACCUCGACCUGGGUGGAAGCUCACAAGUUUAGCUAAUCUGUCUCCUCACCAUAUGAUGAAGAUAUUGUGAUCCCAUUUUGCAGAUAUGACAGCUGGGGUCCCAGAGAGGAUACGCAGUGUUGUGUGACUGCUGAGCUCUCGAAGGCAUUUGUAUGAACUCACGCUGACCAUGGGUGUUUUCCCUGUGCCUUCAGCUCCGGAGCUGUGUGGACAGGGCAUGUACUGCUGUGGCUCAAGCAGUGUGACCCAGAGGACGUGCCGGGUUCAGAAGGCGUUUCUCCUAUCUGCUGUGUUUGGGCUUUACUGAAUCUCUACUGCACUCUGAAGAUUUGAAGGCUUAUUGAUAACUGUGUGAUUUCCACAAUUCUGUACUCAAAUGUUGGCAUCAAGUAUUGUAGGGUUCCAUUCUACAGAAAGGGGAAGCAAGGCUGCCAGAGGCUGGAUGCCUUGAACAAGGGGGUGUGGAUCCACUUCCUGCAGGAAGCUGCCCAGUUUAAAGGUCUGGAGCCAUCUAAUCUGCCUGCUAGCAGCCACCUGAUGUCCUGGGAGCCUCUACCUGCAAAUAACUUGAAGGACAAGAGUGACAACUGCCGUGUGCUGUGCACCAUCUACUUUCAGCUGGAAGUGUCCAUCCCGUUUCAUCUCUUCAUUCCUGUGGACGAUCCUUGGGCACAGGGUUAAUCCAGGAGGAGGAUUUAGUAACAAGGUUGCCUGGCCUCUGGGCCUGGGCGGGAGAGCUGUUGUUCCAGCCCUGUCCCUCAGCCACACUGAUCAGAGUGGGGCUCCGAGCUUCAUUUGGGAGACAGAGCAGCAGUCACCCUGAAUCUCACCCUGCAGACUCUGGGGUUCAGAGGUUGGGAGGGCAGAGCUGCAGGCCCAGGCAGCAAGAGUAGGUGGAGACUUCGCAGCAGCUGCAGCAAAAGGGAAGGACUGGCCGAGAGUGCUGCACUCUGUGCUCCCAGACAUCUGGAGGAAACUUUGGGCAUGCGCAGGACCUCAAGCCUGGCAGCCAGCUGUGAAGGCCGGUGCCCAUGAGACACUCAGCUCAUGUCAUUUCUCCCAUCCGACAGGGGAGUCCACCUGCCCAGCCCCACCUGGAGUCCUUUCACUUCGCCUUGCAGCAGGAAAGUGCCCAGAGAUGUUAGCCAAGGCCACAGUUGGCCAUUGCUGCCCUAGAGGCUUAUACGUGGGUCUUGGACUCCAGGGACACCGGUGAGGUCACUGGGCCUCAGAGGCUGGAGUUGGGGGCACCAGUGUGCCCCCAUGGUGAUGUCUGAAGAACGCAUCCCAUCCCAUGAGUCCUUUCGCAGGGCAGGCGCUGGGCUCUGAAAGCUGCCCUCACAAAGAUGCCUGCAGCUCCCACUCUUUCCAGAGGAGCCAUCAGCCCUCGGCUAGGAGGGCAAAGGUCACUGUGCUGAGAGAAUGACCUCUUUCUCUCAGAAAGCUGCUGCUUUCAGAGCUGUGGCCACCCCAGCCUGGCCAUCACGCAGGCCUGCACCAAGAAAUAAAAGGUUCUCACAGCCGGGUAGGCGCUGUGACACAGUUUAAUUUGCUGUAA